UGGGGAGUAUUGCACAAUGGGCGCAAGCCUGAUGCAGCCAUGCCGCGUGUAUGAAGAAGGCCUUCGGGUUGUAAAGUACUUUCAGCGGGGAGGAAGGCGAUAAGGUUAAUAACCUUGUCGAUUGACGUUACCCGCAGAAGAAGCACCGGCUAACUCCGUGCCAGCAGCCGCGGUAAUACGGAGGGUGCAAGCGUUAAUCGGAAUUACUGGGCGUAAAGCGCACGCAGGCGGUCUGUCAAGUCGGAUGUGAAAUCCCCGGGCUCAACCUGGGAACUGCAUUCGAAACUGGCAGGCUAGAGUCUUGUAGAGGGGGGUAGAAUUCCAGGUGUAGCGGUGAAAUGCGUAGAGAUCUGGAGGAAUACCGGUGGCGAAGGCGGCCCCCUGGACAAAGACUGACGCUCAGGUGCGAAAGCGUGGGGAGCAAACA
rnacentral:rRNA from 1 species